CAAUAGCGUAUAUUAAAGUUGUUGCAGUUAAAAAGCUCGUAGUUGGAUUUCUGGUGGGAGCGAUCGGUCUGGCGCUUAGCGCGAGUACUUGCAUCGUCUCCGGCCAUCCUUGGGGAGAGUCUGUCUGGCAUUAAGUUGUCGGGCAGAGGAUCCUCAUCGUUUACUGUGAAAAAAUUAGAGUGUUCAAAGCAGGCUUAUGCCGUUGAAUAUAUUAGCACGGAAUAAUAAGAUAGGACUUUGGUACUAUUUUGUUGGUUUGCGCACCAAAGUAAUGAUUAAUAGGGACAGUUGGGGGUAUUCGUAUUCCGUUGUCAGAGGUGAAAUUCUUGGAUUUACGGAAGACGAACUACUGCGAAAGCAUUUACCAAGGAUGUUUUCAUUAA
rnacentral:rRNA from 1 species